CAAACGGCUUUUUCAAAAGCCAUCAUUAAAUCAAAUCCGAGUGAUAU
rfam:Brassica napus, WGS project CCCW01000000 data, contig: 7731